CGAGCGGGCGUAGCAAUACGUCAGCGGCAGACGGGUGAGUAACGCGUGGGAACGUACCUUUUGGUUCGGAACAACACAGGGAAACUUGUGCUAAUACCGGAUAAGCCCUUACGGGGAAAGAUUUAUCGCCGAAAGAUCGGCCCGCGUCUGAUUAGCUAGUUGGUAGGGUAAUGGCCUACCAAGGCGACGAUCAGUAGCUGGUCUGAGAGGAUGAUCAGCCACAUUGGGACUGAGACACGGCCCAAACUCCUACGGGAGGCAGCAGUGGGGAAUAUUGGACAAUGGGCGCAAGCCUGAUCCAGCCAUGCCGCGUGAGUGAUGAAGGCCCUAGGGUUGUAAAGCUCUUUUGUGCGGGAAGAUAAUGACGGUACCGCAAGAAUAAGCCCCGGCUAACUUCGUGCCAGCAGCCGCGGUAAUACGAAGGGGGCUAGCGUUGCUCGGAAUCACUGGGCGUAAAGGGUGCGUAGGCGGGUCUUUAAGUCAGGGGUGAA
rnacentral:rRNA from 1 species